GAGUCUCCACAGGGUUGUAGUCUGGCGCUGGAAAGCCAGAAGAGGCAGAAAGAAACAUCGAAGCAGAGCAACUCUGGCUGUGGUGGCUCAGAAGUCCUGGCAACCCGACUUCCGGUGAGAGAACCCCACCUGGCAAACCUAACUUCCGGUGGAGGAAUCCCACCUGGGAUUGAGAGAUAAAGGAACCAAGGCUCAGAGAGGUGCUUUGACUCACCCAAGGAGACCCAGCUGAGAACCUGCCUUAGGUCUGAUCAGACAGCUUGGCUACAAAGCCUUCAUCAUACAUCACCAGAGCUUCUCUCUAAGAGACCCAAUAUGCCAGCGCUGGGUGAGUGGGUGGACUCCUGCAAGAAAAGCCCCUCCCCUCCCACGUCUGCUGCGUUCAUCAUAUCCCCAUCAACCUCUUGCUGGGCAAGAGUGGAAGCUCAGCAAUCAGUCAAAAGAAAGACUACGUUGCCAGUGACCACGCCCCUCUGCUCACCUUUGGCCAAGGCCAGGUGGUACUUUGAGUGCUUGCGCUGCUUUCCCCGAGUGUUGGGAGAUCAUUGGAUCCCUGCCCUGGCUCCGACACCCUGCCAAGUGUCUUUCCUUCAAAGUCGGAGAUAUUUCUGUCCCUGAAAUGCUCACAUUUCAGCACCUUGCUGAGGUCUUUUGGAAGAGACUGGCUGGUGGGAGGCUGAUCGCCAGACUCUGCAGGGCCAGGGGACUUGGGACAGGGCUCCCCACCAGCUGGUCUGAAUGUGUGUGGCUCAAACUCCGGUAGGAGAGCUUCACAUGCAAGCAAGUGAGGCGGAUCAGAGGCUCAAAACAAGGGCCUGGGGCAUUGCAAACCAUUUUUAUGGCUGUUUUCUUUUCCAAGACAGGGUUUUUCUCUGUAACCCUGGCUGUCCUGGGAUUCUCUCUCUCUGUAAUUGAGGCUGGUCUCCAACUCACAGACAUCUGCCUGCUUCUGCCUCCAAAGUGCUGGGAUUAAAAGCUUGCACGAUUACUGCCCAGCUUAAGUGCUGUGGACUUUGAAUUCAGCAAGCCAAAUUUUAACCCCAGUACUGCCUUUUCCAGUGGGUGACUGAGCUGAUCGCUUUUGCACCUUAGUAGACUGAAGCCCAUGGUAGCAGUUGCCUUGUUAGGCUUAGAGAAGUGUCAGCCUUCAAUAAAAAUGGAUCAUUACCUGAACAUC
ensembl:antisense AA387200 expressed sequence AA387200